rnacentral:rRNA from 1 species
UACGUAGGGGGCAAGCGUUGUCCGGAAUUAUUGGGCGUAAAGGGCUCGUAGGCGGUUUGUCGCGUCGGGAGUGAAAACACCGGGCUUAACUCGGUGCUUGCUUUCGAUACGGGCAGACUUGAGGCAUUCAGGGGAGAACGGAAUUCCUGGUGUAGCGGUGAAAUGCGCAGAUAUCAGGAGGAACACCGGUGGCGAAGGCGGUUCUCUGGGAAUGUUCUGACGCUGAGGAGCGAAAGUGUGGGGAGCGAACAGG